AUGCUCGCUUCGGCAGCACAUAGACUAAAAUUGGAACGAUACAGUGAAGAUCAGCAUGGCCCCUGCGCAGGGACGACACGCAAAGCCGUGAAGCGUUCCAUAUUUAA
ensembl:snRNA U6 U6 spliceosomal RNA